CUGAGUGUUGCCCUUGUGAGGCCCAAUCUUGUCUGAUGCUGGAAGCUAAGCAGGGCUAGGCCUGGUUAGCACUUGGAUGGGACACCACUGGGCAUACUCAGAACCACAGU
rnacentral:rRNA from 1 species